UAUCGUACCUUGUUGCUUCGGCGGGCCCGCCGUUUCGACGGCCGCCGGGGAGGCCUCGCGCCCCCGGGCCCGCGCCCGCCGAAGACCCCAACAUGAACGCUGUUCUGAAAGUAUGCAGUCUGAGUUGAUUAUCAUAAUCAGUUAAAACUUUCAACAACGGAUCUCUUGGUUCCGGCAUCGAUGAAGAACGCAGCGAAAUGCGAUAAGUAAUGUGAAUUGCAGAAUUCAGUGAAUCAUCGAGUCUUUGAACGCACAUUGCGCCCCCUGGUAUUCCGGGGGGCAUGCCUGUCCGAGCGUCAUUGCUGCCCUCAAGCACGGCUUGUGUGUUGGGCCCCGUCCCCUCCCCCGGGGACGGGCCCGAAAGGCAGCGGCGGCACCGCGUCCGGUCCUCGAGCGUAUGGGGCUUUGUCACCCGCUCUGUAGGCCCGGCCGGCGCCAGCCGACACCCAACUUUAUUUUCUAAGGUUGACCUCGGAUCAGGUAGGGAUACCCGCUGAACUUAAGCAAUC
rnacentral:rRNA from 1 species